rnacentral:rRNA from 1 species
UACGGAGGGGGCUAGCGUUGUUCGGAAUUACUGGGCGUAAAGCGCACGUAGGCGGAUCGAUAAGUCAGGGGUGAAAUCCCAGGGCUCAACCCUGGAACUGCCUUUGAUACUGUCGAUCUGGAGUAUGGAAGAGGUGAGUGGAAUUCCGAGUGUAGAGGUGAAAUUCGUAGAUAUUCGGAGGAACACCAGUGGCGAAGGCGGCUCACUGGUCCAUUACUGACGCUGAGGUGCGAAAGCGUGGGGAGCAAACAGG